AUGAGAAACGAGAGGAGCUAGCUCUAAGCCCUGGGGACAUGGGAUAGAUUAAUAAAACUUAACUUUUAAAAUGUUCACAAAUAUUGUUAACAUAUUUUCAGUUAAGUUUUAUUAAUCUAUCCUAUAUACCCUAGGGCUUAGAGCUAGUUCCUCUCAUUUCUCACU